rnacentral:rRNA from 1 species
UACGGAGGGAGCUAGCGUUGUUCGGAAUUACUGGGCGUAAAGCGCGCGUAGGCGGCGUGGUAAGUCAGAUGUGAAAUCCCGGGGCUCAACCCCGGAACUGCAUCCGAUACUGCCGUGCUUGAGGGUUGGAGAGGUAGCUGGAAUUCUCGGUGUAGCAGUGAAAUGCGUGGAUAUCGAGAGGAACACUUGUGGCGAAGGCGAGUCCCUGGACAACUUCUGACGCUGAGGCACGAAAGCUAGGGGAGCAAACAGG